GUGCUUUCUUUAAACUAAUAUAUUUUGUGUUGAUGAAGGGUUCUGCAUGUGUUUAGUUUUAAAAGAUACAAAUUCAAAAAAAGACUGAAAAUUAUAUCUAAAUUUGAUAAUGCUUAUUAAUUUCCAAUACAUGUUGUACUAGGUUUGAAAAAUAUCAGGGUUUAAAUGAUUGACACUCUGAUACAGUAAUUGAUGCAGAUAAAACAGUUUCAAUUAGGUCCAAACUGGAAGGAAGGAGAAUGGGCUUUAAACAUUUAAACACUUAUCAUUUUUUUUUAAGAAAAAGUUUUUUUUGGUUGAGAUAUUCUUUUUAUCUGUUAUAUAUUUUGUGCUCGUUUAUUUUCAAUAAGAGGUUGGUUGUGUCAAAUUGAGGAGAUUUACACAGCUUUUUUUUCUUUUUUUUUUAAUAUAUUUAUUAUGAUAAUUUUGUAUGUUUGAAACUGUGGUUUGAGUGUUACUAAGCUUAACUUCAGUUUGUGUGGGUCAUUAUGAAUGCUACACAUGUGUACAUACUUUCUGUAUGGGACAUAAAUAUCGCUGUACAUAAUGUGUGAGUCAUGUAAAGUGCUACACGUAUUUGUAAAUAUUGUGUUUUGAUUUUAUGUGAGACAUGAAAAAUGUUUCACAAUUGUAAAUAGUCGUGAACAGUGAACCCAAAGUUGUGAGGUAUUAUUCAAAAUACUACAGCUUGGGUUAAUCUUUACUUUAUUUUUUUCCUUUCAUAUAAUAACUCUUAAAUUUAUUUAUUUUUUAAUUUGAAGACCUCAGAUAUACUGAGGUAUUUUUUUAUUGGUUGUUAUUUUGAAUAAAAUAUAAAAGUUAAUUUAAAAUUUUCAAAAAAUUUUCAUGUUAUCAAAUAUAUAUCCUAAAAUUAAACAGGCAUGAAAUUGGAAAUAUUCAAAUAUUUGAUAUGUUAUAAAGAAACUUUUGUGUUGAAAAAUGAAAUUUGUGCCUUUCUAAGGGUAGGGAGAAUUCAUGUACAAGUAGUAUUCCUACUAAAAACUGUACAUUAAAUUAUUAAGUGGUGCAUAAUUGUGUAUAAAAUAUAACAUCUUCAGAAGAAAGCAUUGUAUUAGAAACAGUUUUUUUUUAUUUGUGAUAUCAAUUGAAAACUUUAUUUUUGUUUCCAUUCUGACAGUAAAUUAAACUUAGUAUUUAGAUUCUCCUUUUGUCUUGGAGAUAAGAAACAUUUUUUACUCUCUAUUUUGUAUUCAGGCUUUAUGGAAUUUGUAUCCCCUUAAUGCUGUUGUAAUCAAGGAUCUUUCGAUAAUUUGAUGUAAAGAUGUGUUCUGAAAUUUUGUUGUUGUUUCUUAUUUCAAAUAACAAGGUACACAACUACAAAAUACAAUUUAAUUUUUGAUAAUGAUAACCAAACUUUUUUAGUUUAAUUUAAAUUUUUUGAUACAGUGCUUUCAUUCCUAUGUCAAACCUUGAAUGUGUUAAAUAUGUGAUAUUUAAGUUGUCAUGUAAAAUACUCAGAUUUCAUACAGACAUUGUACUUAUUUAUGUUAUUCUGAUACGACUUAAGGAAGUACCUAAUACGACAGGGAGAUAACUCUGUAAAUAUUUUGUAAAAAAUUUAUGAACAUUAAAUGAACGAAAUUAAUUUUAGUCAAGGUGUUUGGUACUACCUCAAUAGUACAUUAUAGUAGCGUUACAACAGUCAAGAAAAAUGUUUUUAAAAACAAAUAAGGAAAAGCCAAUUGGUUGUCUUAAAAAAUCUACCAGUGAAUUUAACUUCAGGUUGCAUUGACUAUUGGUCAAGUAGUUAUAAUUCAUUUAGCGGUCACUACUGGGACACUGACCAUUGGAUAUAAUGUCAUGUGCAUUUUUAAAUGUACAUUUCAUAAAUAAUUCUCAUUGAAUGAGUUUCAUACUUUUUAUAAAGGUGAAUACCCAAAAGCAAAAUAUGUAUGAACAUCAUUAGUAAGAUCUAAUUUUAUGUUUUCAGGAUGAUUUCUUUGCCAUGAAAACUUUUUCCCAAUUUUUCAGUUGUUGUUACUGGUACAUUUGUUAUUUUAUAACAAUAAGACAGAAUUGAUUACAAUCAUGUUACUGAUAAGUAGUCUUUUUUUGGACACAGAUUAGAAAUAGUCAACUUCUCUGAAAAACUUUAUUUCUAAUACAGCAAUCAUUGUAGACAUGUUAUUUUGAUCUUGUGGCAAUCCAAAAAAAAUCUGCUGACCAUGAUUUUGUUGGCAAGAAAUUCUAAACACUACUGGUAUUCAAAUUUUUAAUGGUACUUUUAAUCCAGGCAAUUUUAUUCAGUUGCAAAAAAUGUUUCUAGUGGAAAGAAUUCCCUGUUACAUUUUUGUAUAUCUGGUAAAAUUAAAAACGGAAAUGGUGAAUGUGUCAAAGAGACAGCAACCCGACCAUAGAGCAGACAUAUACCUGGCACUUUUUUUGAGGGAUCAUAUAGUAAAAGUUUUGAAGCAGCUAAUUUAGCAUUUUUACACAACUUUCCUAGUAUUGUUCUUUUAAAAAAGUCUUUACACUGUGGAUUUUGUAUGUGGAAGGGGUUCAGAUUUAAAAGAUAUGUUUCAUAGCAAUUUUUCUUCUGGUACUCUUCCUUGAAAGUGGUCAGAGGCACAGAAAAGGCACAUUAUAAUUUUUUAAUUUUUCCAUUGUUGAUGCUGCCAGUAGUGGCUAACAUUUUAUAUUUUAUGAAUACAUUCAAAAUUCUUCCAGUAUGAAUUGAUUUUAGUUGUGAUAUAAGGAAGUAGUACUGAUGAUACAUGCACAUGUUGAGAGAUGAGACUUUAAUAAAAAUUGAAUUGUAACCUGUGUUCAGUUGUUUGAAAUUUUUAUAUAUUUCCUAUACAUCUGAUUGAAAACUUUACAUUUUUUUUCUUUUAGCAAUUGUCACAAAAAAACAGCAUAUUUAGAAAGAUUAUAAGACUUCUAUAUAAAUAUUUAAGUAAGACCAUAUUUAUUUUUGCUACUUUAAAAAAAAUCCUGUAUAAUAUAUAUUAUGUUCUAAGAUGACAUUGUCUCCUUUCUUUCAGAUGGUUUAAAUGUUCAAAAGAAAAGUAAGAUAUUUAGUAUCUUAAUAUUGUCAGUUGAUACCUAAUAAUUUUUUAAUCUCAUAAGAUUUUGUAUACUUGUUUUUACUUGAUGUCAAUGUCACAAUAUAAAAUAUGAAGAACUAUUAUUUUCUUUAGAAAUUAGAUUUCCCAAUAUCUAAUUUUGUUUUGAACAAAUAGUCACAAAUUUGUACAUUUUAUUUUACUUUUUAUUUUGAACAAUAAUCUGGUAGAACAUAAGGCUUACAUGUCUGGUUAGAAUUUGAUUUUAAAACUGAAACUCAUGUUUAAUGUUCAAGUGAUUGGUUUCUUUUUGAAAGACUGUUUCAUGUGUCUGUUUGAUGUAUUUGUAUUUUACAAGAUAACUUUGCAUAUUUGUUGAACUUAUAUAUUAAAUAAAAGGAAAUGCAAUUAAAAA
rnacentral:lncRNA from 1 species